ACCCGCGCCUCUCCCUCCACACCUCUGUGCAAGCUGAGGGAGCCGGCUCCGGCCUCGGCCAGCCCAGAAAAGGGCUCCCGCAGUGCAGCGGCGGGCUGAAGGGCUGCUGAAGCGCGGCAAGAGUGGGCGCCUAGGCCAAGGAGGCGCGGAGAGCGAGCGAGGCCUGUGAGUGCUGCCAGCACGCCGUCACCUCUCAAUAUGACUUAGGGAUCAUGGCUUAUUUGAGCUGUUGCUCCUCAGUGGACAUCAUAGGAUCUUGCAGAUGUGUAUCAAUCCUUCGCAAGUAGGGAGAGCUCCCUUGGUUACGACAGUCUUAAAGAUCUCCUGUUACAUAAAUUUGACAGUAAGUUAUCAACAUUACAACUAAGAAGCCUAACCAUUUGGAAUUUAAAACUCCUGUAUCAGUCUGCCCUGGAGUCAUUCUGGGAUGAGUCAAGUGGUCAGACACUGUCUCACUGGAUGAGAAACAUGAUCAUGUCUGAGUACCAGGAAUAACAAUUCUAAAAAUGGACAGAUCUAAUUCAUUCAAUAUUUCAGUGAUGGCCAAGUGACGCAUGCUGGGAGGGCUCAACCUCUACGCCUGGAAACUUGGCUCUUUGGGAAGAUGUGGCAAUGCAAAUUUGUUGAAGAUGAAGGAUAUAUCACUCUUCUGGAAUGAAUGGAAUGAAUGGAAUGUCUAGCCAGAGACCUUUCAGAAAUCUUAAUAAUUGUGGCAAUUUUUUUUUCUUAACUGUUCACUUCUCUUAACAAAAGAAAAGCCACUGCAAUGCCCCACCUAUUCCCCUCACACAUGUCUGUUCUUGAUACUAAUUUUUACAUUUUGACAUUUAAAUAGUAACUAUAAUUAUCCACAUUUUUUCUUCUUUGGGCAAUUACAUUUGCAUUCUUAGUGAAGAACUGUAAAACCAAAUGGAUGGACCAAAAAAAUGGUUUAAACAGAAGUCGUACAAACAUGCAUAUUUGAAAGAGGAGAUUCUUAUAACUACAUAAAAUAAAUAAUGUAAUAUCUUCUAUUUAUACUUUCCAGUAGAUUAAGUGCUGAGGACACAGUCAACAAAAACAACAUUAUAUGUUUCUACUGGCAAUAUCCCUGGUGUUGCCUAAUUGGUUGAAUUUCAAACCAUUAUCUUUAAAGAAGCAUCUCUAUAGGUAUAGUUAGUUCUUCUUUGCUUUCUGCCAGAGAAGCCUGCAGAACACAAUCAAGGGAUAUUGAUGUUCAAAGAAAAGAAUGGCCUGACAAUUCAAACAACAUACCUAAAAUUUUUUACGUUCUAAGAAAAUAGAUGCUGUGUUGCAUUUUUGUGCAUCUUUGUACCUCCUUGGUUGAUAACAAAGUAAGUUUUCUAGCACUGCCUCUGGGUUCUUUCUAAGUAGAGACUUGUCCUGUAACAAGAUGAAUGAAAGUAUGAGCAGAUAAAUAAUGUGCAUACAACGUAGAAUGAAACUUUUAAAAUUAACGUAGCAACUUCAAAAGACUUAAAAAAUGAAAAUUCCAUGGAAAAAUUUUAAUAUGCCUUAUUAUCCUCCAAUAUUUGUAGACCUCAGAAAAAAGUUGUUUCUCAUUCUGUUGAACAUAUAUUUAUGAAUUUUGUUCAAAUGCAAAAAUCAACUAAUGGCUAAUGUCUAAAAAUAAGAAAACAUAUUAGCUAAUAAAAGACUUUUGGGAAAAUGUUAA
rnacentral:lncRNA from 1 species